CAUCUAGCAUUACCAGAUAGCACAACACAAUGCUAUUCGCCAGAGAACUACAAGUGAAAAACUUAAAACUCCAAGGACUUGGCGGUGCUCCAUAUCGACCUAGAGGAGCCUGUCCUAUAAUCGAUACCCCCCGUUUCACCUUACCAUUUUUAGCAACUCAGCCUAUAUACCGCCAUCUUCAACAAACA
rnacentral:rRNA from 1 species